rnacentral:rRNA from 1 species
CCAGACUCCUACGGGAGGCAGCAGUGAGGAAUAUUGGUCAAUGGGAGAGAUCCUGAACCAGCCAAGCCGCGUGAGGGAAGACGGCCCUAUGGGUUGUAAACCUCUUUUGUCGGAGAACAAAACCCGGGACGAGUCCCGGACUGCGUGUAUCCGAAGAAAAAGCAUCGGCUAACUCCGUGCCAGCAGCCGCGGUAAUACGUAGGGAGCAAGCGUUAUCCGGAUUUAUUGGGUGUAAAGGGUGCGUAGACGGGAAAACAAGUUAGUUGUGAAAUCCCUCGGCUUAACUGAGGAACUGCAACUAAAACUAUUUUUCUUGAGUGUUGGAGAGGAAAGUGGAAUUCCUAGUGUAGCGGUGAAAUGCGUAGAUAUUAGGAGGAACACCAGUGGCGAAGGCGACUUUCUGGACAAUAACUGACGUUGAGGCACGAAAGUGUGGGGAGCAAACAGGAUUAGAUACCCCAGUAA